CAGGUAUGCUAUAAAAUAUGCAAGAGCCAAAAUCCAUGCUGCCUCAGUAACCCACUGAAGUUUAUCUGGUAAGUCAGCAAUAGCAUGCCGCGAAGUGUCAUAUUUGAGGCGACAUGGUAAAACAGGAAGCAAACAUGUGUAAGAAGGAAAGUUGUGUGGGGUACAUCAUUCAUCUUCCAUGAUGGAAAUGUAUAAGAAGCUCCCAAAACUGUAAAGAAAUAGUGUGUCCAAAAGUAAUUUCCAACAUAGCUGAAAAUGAUUAUCCACAGGCUGGCCUUGACCCAAUAACGGUCCUUCCACCUCAAGCCACUAUCAGCCUUUCCAACAAAUAUCAUUGGUAUCAAGAAAGAAGGAACUGCCGAAACCAUAGCGAGAAGCAAAUACUCCAAUUCCGUAAAGCUCUCGUAGAGUUUGUAGGGGACCACAAUGCCCAGACAGAGAGUAAGCCAGAAAGGUGUAUAGCAAAGAAAGAAAAGC
rnacentral:misc_RNA from 1 species